UACGAAGGGGGCUAGCGUUGUUCGGAAUUACUGGGCGUAAAGCGCGCGCAGGCGGUUCUUCAAGUCAGUGGUGAAAGCCCGGAGCUCAACUCCGGAAUUGCCAUUGAAACUGUGGAACUUGAGGAUGAGAGAGGUGAGUGGAAUUCCGGGUGUAGAGGUGAAAUUCGUAGAUAUUCGGAAGAACACCAGUGGCGAAGGCGGCUCACUGGACCGGUAUUGACGCUGAGGUGCGAAAGCGUGGGGAGCAAACAGG
rnacentral:rRNA from 1 species